rnacentral:lncRNA from 1 species
CCGCUCCGUGCCCCCCCCGCUCCGCUCCCGUCCCUCACGCACCGCUUCCUCCUCAGGUACCGUCAACACCUUCGCGCUUUACGGCGCCGCUGUCGCAAAAACGCCGCACCCCACUCCGCUUUACGGCGCGGCGGAGACUGCAACUCCCAGCGCCCCCCGCGCGGCUCCGCUUUACGGCACGGCGGGGACUUCAACUCCCAGCAACCCCCGCGCGGCGCAGGCGCAGAGCGCGCGGUGCGAAAAAGGCGGGAAGGCGUCGAGCGGGCGCUGAGGUGAGCGCGGCGAUGGGCAAAAGGAAGAGCGGCCAGGCGCCAGGUGGGGCCGACGGUGACGGCCGUGCUGCCAAAGCCAGGGCAGGACUGCAGGGGGACCGGGGGGCAAACGGGGGGGACAAAAUUGGAUUGGGGAC